CCCAAUACGUGAAUUUUGAUGGGUACACAAACAUUCACCCCAUAACAGAACUGCAUCUAAGACUAGAUUGCUAAGUGAAGGCAAGUCCAAUAUUUGGAUGGAAGAGUUUCUUAUUGCCUAAUGCUAAUUUAUAAAGCCAACACAGUAUGCCUCAGAAAUGUAUCUGUUCCUAGUGAAUUGUUUAUGUAAGAUACUAUUUGGUUUAAAACGGUUUAAAACGGCAAUGACCUGGGUCUUUGUCAAAUAUAAGUAACAUUUGUGUUAACUCUUUUGUAUCUACCUCUAACACAUGCUUAAUUAACAUAUUAACAUUUGCGUGCAUGGAUAUAUGUUUUGAUCUGACACUUACUUUUACUGCAGUUGGUAACAAAGUUAUGGAGGAGCCGCAAACACCCAUCUCAAUCACAAUUUUCAGCUUUUUCUACAAAAAGAACCCCUGAGUUGUACAGAAUCAUAUUGGUUCAGGAAAGUUUGCAGUCAUGUCCACAGGGGAGUAAAUAGCUUCUGUUCCAGCAUUGAAGCAUCCUGGAUAGUGUUACAGACAGACUGUUCAGUGAUACUCUCUGUGUUCCUUGAUAGAAUUACCCUGAUGGCCUAAUACUGUUCUAAGUUUACAUAACUGAUAGAUUGCUAUUCCUAUUUUGUAGAUGACUAAAUUAAAGGUCAAAGAUUCUAACAAACAGAAAGAGAUAGAGCAAGUGGUUUAUUCCAUAUGUUACGCUUUUUAAAACUGUACUCCUGUCUAAGUCUCAGUUCUGUAUCUGGGGACACAGGAAAUAGAAAACAAGUUCCAAUAAAUGACACAGCCAAGAGAGAACAGUUUUGCGGAAAAAAUACAUAUAUCCCUAAAUCUCAGAUGCCUAAGAGUGUCUUAUGUUUUUUAGGAGUCACAAUAAAGUCUUCUCUGUAUAAAUUCUAGUUGUUGGUUGAUAUUAAGUUAGAUAUGUACUAAGUACCGGAGCUCAUCUCAUAGAGUGGGUUCAAUCAUUCUCAGCUAAUCUUUUUUGUUUUUGUUGUAAAAUCUUGAGUUGUAAAAGCCUUUUCAGGUACUAUUAAGAAAGGCAAUAUAAGCAGCAUGGGGCUGCCUGAAAAUUAUAGUCAAGAUUAUGUUUCUUAGAGCUGAUAAGAAGCAAUUCUGACCAAACAAGACUUGACAAGUUUUAUUUCUAAUAAGGUGUACUGUACCACACAAUUGAAUCGCUUUUAACUAGGAAUCACUUGAUUUUAAAAUAAAAAUCACAUGUUUACAUUCCCCCCCACACAUAUACAAAAUUUACAAAAAAUAAUUGACUAUAUCACCUUGACUCCAUACAUCCCUGAUUAAAUGUUUUCUACCUUGUAAACAGCAUGAUUAACAAUCAAUUCCAUGAAAUAAUGAUUUCACUAAGACUGAAAAAUUGGCCAAGCUUUUUCCUCUCCUUCAUCUCUAACCAUUUCUUUUCUUCCUGGUAUCCACUGUCCACCUUCCUUGAAGAAGCACCUUCCAUAAUAUAUUGAGAACAGAGUGCCAUACUCUUGUGGAAGCAAAAUACAAGUUGGGGGCACUUACUGAGAACACUGGAGCUGAACCAGAGAGCUCCAUGGAUGCCGAUGACAGAGGAGGCCACUUCAGACAGAUGAAGAUACAUUAGUGCUUUUAAAUUUGUCCUUGGUAAUAUGCUCAUCUGAAACAAUGGUUGCAGAGACAAAUCAGAUGAAUGCUGCUUUCAGAACUAAACGAAUGCUUCACAAGAACAUCUCAGAGAGGAAUAUACUGAAGAGUCUGGAGAACAGUUUCAUGGAAAACAAAUUGAGUGUCCAGUGUAUUUGAAAAGAAAAAGAAAAAAAUGGGAGUAGAAAAAGAAAAAUAAGAAAAUUAUUUUGAGUAUUUUGUGGACACACCACAAAUUGUACCCACACAGUAUGUUUUAUGCAUGAGUUUUAUGUGUGGCAAAAAUUAUUGAUAGACAUUUUAUAUAGAAGAUGUAUUCCUAAAUUGGGAAUUGCUUUCCAAUAAUCCUCUGCAGUUCAGCGUUAUUCCUAUUUCAGAUAUAAUUUAUAUACACAAAGAUUACAUAAUUCUACCACUAAACACACAUGCCAAGAAAGAAUUUAGAAUAUAUAGAUUGGAUUUGAAAACAAACAAAAAAACCCACUAAUCCUCCAAAUGGAUUCUCUGAAUGGGUUUUAUUUCUCAUGUAUUUUGGUCCCUGACAGAUAGAUAUUUAGAUGCUUGGCUAUCCAUCUCCAUGUUACCAUCAAGACUUAGGCACUGGGGCUGCUGUGCUAUUUAUCCCACUGCAGCAUGACCCAGAAUGGGGAACAUGAUUAGUGAUGAUCCCUGGCAGAAGAACAGGUCUGGAUUAUGAAUGGUGAUGCAUUUUUCCUUUAACUUCUCUUCCAGGAAGGGGAUCUAGUACUAGGUCUUUAGGAAAACAAGAACUUCUCUAUAGAAAAGUCAAAUUCUCCUAGGUAACAGAGCUCAGAGAAGUGUUAUGUAAGGCUUGAAAUUUAAAGACAGACAAUAAGAAACUUCUUAGGGUUCUGUAGCUUUCCUCAACAGUGUGUUUUACUUUAAGGGUAUUUUGGGACCCUACAGAGAAUAAGGCACAGUCCCCUGGCAUCUUUAAUAGGGUUUGAGUUGAUGUUAACGCCUCUGGAGCCCAAGAAGGAAGGAGUUCAAACCAUUCAUGGCUUCUUGGCUUGCUUGGUAUGUCGGAAGAAGGAGCUUGUUCUGGAGACAAAGCCCUUCUGGGGAGCUUUUUACUACUUCAACAGUAGAAAGAGUUGGUAAAGCUGCUGCUUCUUAGGGUAACUUAUUCAGAGUUUCAUGCAGUUAUUGGUAUGCAACUAGGAGAUCGGAAGUAAUGGCCAGAAAUUGAAUCUUUCAUCCAGAGUUGGUACUCAUAUUUGUGAGUGUUGCCAUACUAACUUUUGUAAGGGUGUGAGAUAGUUUUUGGUAUCUGAUUUGACAAAGUGUAUUUACUUGGUAUUUCAGAUAAUUCUUAAAAAUAAGUCCUAUCUUCCUGGUGUUUUAAUCAUUGAGCAAGGUAAGUAAAUAUAGUUAUGUAUACAAGUACUCUAAAGAAACACAUAUAACGAAAAUAUCUUUGAUUCUAAUCUACAUCAUGUAAAGUCAGUGGAGUCUCAAAAUCCCCAAGCCUUCUUUCUCUCCUUGCUGCCUCACAUCUUCUUCUUGGUGAUUUUUAACUGUCUUUGGAUAUGUUACUGGCCAUUAGGUUGUCUGAUCAAUACUUGGUAUUUAGAAUUGCUCCUUCAGCCCUGAUACUUGUCUUUGUUGACAAUAGUCUAGUUCUUCUCAAAGCCUCAAUUGCUGCCACGUUCUUAUUGGAUUCCCAUUGAAAACUUGUUUCAGUUUUCUAUUAUUAGGUGACUUUUCUCUUGGAUCUUGAGGAAAUAUUCCCUAGAAGUAUGUCAGUGAAUAUUCCAGUGGUCUCACCCAUCUUUAGAGGUGAAAGCAUUAUGUCCCAUGGCGAAUUGUCUCAGGUUUCUAGCCAACUGCCUGAUGUUGUUCAGUGCCCUGAAAGCUGAUGGCAGGAGUUCUCUGCUAGAUGCUGUGGCCUGUUGUUCAUGCCCUCUUUGCUUAAAACCAGACCAGAGUUUCACUGUGAGAUUCAAAAAUUCUCACUGGGAGCUUACUGCCUUCCUGUUCAUUUAGGAUAAAUAGAGAUAAAUUGACCUUUUGGCCAGGUAAAGGAUAUAGAUGAGUGAUAUUUCAGUUUUGAUAACUAGUGGACUCUGUUAAAAAGCACAAAUAAGUAUGAGGAUAAUAUCCAUUUUAUCUUCUACUAGCUGAUUUUUUUUUCAGUUUUUCUAUGCUGAGCAAUUAGAAGUUUUACAGAUAUUAAGGACUCAUGUUUCUAUAUAGCAUGUCCUUAAUGUCAUUACUUUAUAAGACACUGUGUGCUUAACUUUAAUGUAGUUUAAAUUUCAUCUGUAAUAAUUCAAGAUUUAUCAAAUAAAGAAAAACUUCUUUAAGUACAAUUUUAAGUUACAUUUCGAGCCAUUUAUAUCCUGAUAUUAAAUUUAAUUAACUGAUGCAUCAGUUGGCUCUCCAAAUAUGUAGAUAAUUGAUGUACAAUAAUUAAGUAUCUAGGUUUCUGAUCAGCAGUAGCAGGCAGGGACUUUGAGGAAAUUUUAAGACACUCUUAUAAUAUCUUUACUUGAGGCUGCCUGCUGUUCUUUCUAAAAUGAAUACAUAAUAAUAAAUUAUAUCCAAAAUGGUAUAUUAAUUUCUUCAGGGAAAAAGAUUUUUAUUAUUAACUGGUUUAGGACCGUUUCUAUGAUGUCUUUGUGAUUCCCAUGAGGGCCAGCUUAAUACAGAGUAGGCAAAUGCAAGAUAUUGGAGUUGAUUUUAUUUUAUUAGAUCCUUACAGAGCUCAAGAAAAUUAAGACUGACUUUCAUGAUGUGUCACAUUAAGUUUGAAGUAUAAACUUUCAGUCUAGGUAACUUCUUAGAAUUAUCACCAAAAUAUUAUUUGGGAUAUAAACAUAAUACCUGAUAUUAUAGAGAGAAAUUAGAGUACUUUCUUUAUUUCAAUUCAUAUCAUAGCAACUUUAAUCACUCACAUCAUCAAUAGGUAACUGUUACCACAUUAAUUGUGCUUGCUUUGUACCCUUGGACUAAUAUCCCCUUACUCUUGUCCUCCCCUCAGACUCUGGUAACUACCAUUUUGUUCUCUGCUUCUAUGAGUUCAAUUUUUUUUUUAAUUUUUUUUUUAAUUCCACAUAUAAGUGAGAUUGUACAGUAUUUGCAUUUUUCUGUCUGGCUUAUCUAAUUUAGCAUAAUGUCCUCAAGUUUCAUCUGUGUUGCACAAAUGGCAGGAUUUCCUUCUUUUUAAAGACUGAAUAAUAUUCCUUUAUAUUGUUAUACUCAUUAAAUUAACAUUUGUUAAACAGAGCCCUGGAGUAUUGAUAGUGAGCCGUGAUUCAACAAAUGGCUGCAAGAGAAUUUGAAGUAGAGCUUAUAACUCAUAGACUCUGCAGGAGAUACACAACAUGCCUCAAGGGGCCACAGUGGAGAGGCCAAGACAGGAUACAGGAAGAAAGAACUCAGCAGGGUCUGAGGUACAUGUCUUUAUUAGGAUCCAUGAAUGGAAUUCUUUGGGGCUCCUGAGCUCUAAGGCCAGAUUGGUCAGUUCAAACCCAAAGAGUUUUGUUAAGCUUCAGAGUGGUCUAUCUAAGGGGGACACAAGGGGAGACACUUGGAGGCAGAGAAAUCUGCAUGCAAUCUGUUAUCUAGCAUGGGAUGAACUAGUGUCAGUUCAAAGCCCCUGCAGGUUUCUUGGCCAUGCAAAAAUGGAUGCUGAGGCAGAAAUAUCCUGAAAUGAUUGUACUAAACUUUCCCUCUCUCCCUCUCUCCCUUUGUCUCUCUCUAUAUCUAUCUAUCUAUCUAUCUGUCUGUCUGUCUGUCUGUCUGUAUCUCUCUCUCUCUCCCUCCAUAUAUAUAUAUAUAUCACAUUUCCUAUUUCCUUUCAUCUGGCAACAGACAGUUUGUUGUUGUAUCUUGGCUACUGUGCAACUAAUGGUGCAAUGAAUAUAGGCAUGCAAAUAUCUCUUUGAGUGAUUUUCUUUCUUUUGGAUAUAUGACCAGAAGUGGGAUUGCUGGAUAUUGUAAUAACACACUUUCUGAUUUCAAAUUAUAUUAUUAUGCUAUAGUAAUCAAAAAUAUGAUACUGACAUAAAACAAAUGCAUAGACCAAUGUAAUAGAAUAGAGAGCCCAGAAAUAAACCCACACAUACAGAGUCAACUAAUUUUUGAUAAAGGCACCAAGAAUGCACAUGGGGAAAGAAUAGUUUAUUUAAUUAACAAUGUUGGAGAAAUUGAAUAUCCGCAUGCAAAAGAAUGAAACUGGACCCUUAUUUUACACUGUAUAUAAAAAUAAACUCAGAAUAGAUCAAAUAAUUAAAUGUAAGACCUGAAACUAUAAAAAUCCUAGAAGAAAA
rnacentral:lncRNA from 1 species